CCCGCCUCCCGCCUCCCUCCUCGUCCAGUCCUCUUCUCCAUACGUCCCUUCCCCCUCAAGCUCCUAUUGCCACCUGCUUGAUUCUGUCCUGCCUCCAGUGAUCUCCGUUGUGGAUCUAACCUCAUCCGUAGCCGCAAGUCGGGGUCCUCCCCUUUGAUCAACAUGCAACUACGGCGACGCGCAAGGCAACCUCCAGGGCGAAGGCAAGGCGACUUCCUCUUUGCUGGCCAUGUCCUUCGACGUACUCUCCUAAUCCUCCACCCCCAAUCAGAGUAGGUGAGGGGGAACCUCCACCAUCCUGGAGUCCUGUUCCUGACCCUUAUAAUCUACAGAGUGAAAGUCAACAAGGUAUGGGAGUCUGGGAAAAAAGGAGGUAGAGGCUACCUAACUUGUUGGAUUCAAUGGACAAAGCUUUGUUGGAUGUCUUUGUUGAAAGGAGAUCAUGCUCAGAAUGGAUGGAAACCUCAUGUGUACACAGCUGCUGUCAAGAAUGUGAGAGAGAAAUGUGAAAUAUUACGAAGGAGAAUAUUAUAUCAAGGAGCAAAACUUUUGACAAGUACCAUGCAAUCAUAAGCAAGAUGCUCUCUCGGAGUGGUUUUGGUUGGGACUGGGACAACAACAAGAUCUCUGUUGACAGUGAUGAUGUAUGGAAUACUUAUGUCCAGGCAAACGAAGAUGCAACUUCAUAUCGACACAAGACUAUUAGGUUUUGGGACAUGAUUAGCUUAGUCUACUCGAAGAAUCGUGCUAACGGAGCUGGAGCUAGGACUGCGGCUGAAAGUGUAGUAGAAAUGGCUGCGGAGAAUGGUGACAACAGCAAGGACACUGACGCUACCUCAUCCACUCAAGUCGAUGGAGAUCGAAAGAAGAAAAGGUAUAGAUCAGAUGAGACUAUUGCUUCCAUGCUUGGUGAGAAACUGGACAA